rnacentral:misc_RNA from 1 species
GAUGAAGAACGCAGCGAAAUGCGAUAAGUAAUGUGAAUUGCAGAAUUCAGUGAAUCAUCGAAUCUUUGAACGCACCUUGCACCCUUUGGCAUUCCGAAGGGUAUGCUCGUUUGAGUGUCAUUGUACUCUCACACUCCCAAUUGCUUUGGAUUGGGAGCGGUGGACUUGGGUGUUGCUGCUUGACUGAGGCUCACCUGAAAUAUGUUAGUGCACCUCUUGAUUGGACAUAGUACGGCGUGAUAAGUGUCUUCGCCGGCUCCUCGCAAAGAGGGUGGCCGAUCGGGAGCUCUGUUGCUUCAAACUGUCUUCGGACAAUCUUCUGGCGACUUGACCUCAAAUCGAGUAGGACUACCCGCUGAACUUAAGCAUAUCAAUAAGCGGAGG